rnacentral:rRNA from 1 species
UACCCGCAGCACAAGUGGUGGUCAUUAUUAUUGGGCGUAAAGAGCUCGUAGGCGGUGUGUCGCGUCGGCCGUGAAAACCUGGGGCUUAACUCUGGGCGUGCGGUCGAUACGGGCAUCACUGGAGUUCGGCAGGGGAGACUGGAAUUCCUGGUGUAGCGGUGAAAUGCGCAGAUAUCAGGAGGAACACCGGUGGCGAAGGCGGGUCUCUGGGCCGAUACUGACGCUGAGGAGCGAAAGCAUGGGUAGCGAACAGG